rnacentral:ncRNA from 1 species
UUGGUUGGGGCGGCACAUAUGUUAAAGAAUAAUGCAGGUGUCUUAAGGGGGGCUCAUUGAGAACAGAAGUGGCGAGUUGAACAAAAGGGUAAAAGUCCCCUUGAUUAUGAUUUUCAGUGUGAAUACAAGCCAUGAAAGUGUAGUCUAUCGAUCGCUUUAGUCGUUUAGAAUUUAAAGCUAGAG